rnacentral:lncRNA from 1 species
AUUUUCCCUUUUUGUUGUUGGGGGUGACUUCUUCCCAGGCAUGUUAUUCUUGACCCCCCGGGGCAAACGGAGGUGUCAGCGUCAGGAGCCAUCCUAACUGAGGCCCUGGGAGGUCAGUGCUUUUUGUGUGACUGGACGGUGAAGCCGUCUGUGGGAAUGACCUGGCUACGGCUCAGUGUAGUCCUAACUAAGGUGUCUUUUACUCCGUGUUCCCAGGCUCCCUCUUUCCCUUCGGUCGCCGUGGGUGUGCCGGACGCCUCUGGCAGGACUAACCCUGUGGCUUUUAUGUCCAACGUGCCUGCAGGUAAGAAAAGCUGGGAGUGCAGUCCCUCUGCUUUGCUUGCUGUGUCUCUUGGGUAGUUAUUUUGGAGGGGAAUCCCAGAGCGAUUUGGUUUGAAGGGGACCUUUAAAGGCCACUCGGUGUUCCGUGGGCAGGGACACCUUCCCCUCUCGUCCCCCAUCCAGCCUGGCCUGGAACACUUGCAGGGAUCCAGGGGCAGCCUUGGGUUCCCUGUGCAAGGCGGGGGGCGGCGCGGCUGC